rnacentral:rRNA from 1 species
UACGAAGGGUGCAAACGUUGCUCGGAAUUAUUGGGCGUAAAGGGCGCGUAGGCGGCCUGGCAAGUGGAUGGUGAAAUCCCUCGGCUUAACCGAGGAACUGCCAUCCAGACUGCUUGGCUUGAGACCGGGAGAGGUGAGUGGAAUUCCCAGUGUAGCGGUGGAAUGCGCAGAUAUCAGGAAGAACACCCGUGGCGAAGGCGGCUCUCUGGGCAGUAACUGACGCUGAGGAGCGAAAGCGUGGGGAGCGAACAGG